rnacentral:lncRNA from 1 species
AGCGAGCGUUCUCAGAAACACACAGGCAUCUGCUUCCCCCUCACAAAGGCACAAGACACCCUGCUCAUAUUAACUUGCUCCUAAACACACACCCACUCUCCCUCCGGCUUCUGCUGGCCUUGUGCGUGCAUAUCACCCCAUUUUACGGACAGAGUCCACAGAGACCGCCCCUGCCCUACCCCCUACCUCUCCUUUCUUUGCUUCUCUCUCUUUCUCCCUCCCUCAUCCCUGGGCACCCGUUUGCCAGGGUUAUUUAUAGAAGCAAGCGAUAAAUUCAGUGUGUUUCUCGGCGCGCAAAGCUAUAAAUAAUGGCACAGAUCAUUAAACCCCGAGAGCAGGCCCAGCCGCCCCGCAAACAAGAUGAAGUGCAAACCACCACGUGAAAGAGAGAGCGGGAGGUACAAGGGAGAGACCCAGGCCCAGGGCCAUUAGGCCCCAGCCUGCACCCCUCAACCCAGGCCCAGUGAACUUGGGCCUCCAAGGCAUUCCCAGCAGAAUCUGGUGUGUCUACAUACAACCUGGAGCCCCUUCACUUGGGAAUGGGCUGGAAGGUGACAACCCAAAAGAACUCACACGAAGCUGCAGCACAGUGUGACAGGUGACAGUAUCUUCAGGACCUCCAUCUCCCCACUUUCUACUCCACAGGAUCAGAGAUGACCUACCAUCCAAGACCCACCCAUGAUAGAACCAGAACAAAUAAAGAAGUGGGGUGAGAAAUGUUCCUGGGAAGAAAAGCCAAGAAAAGUCAAGAAUGUGCAGCUACUAAAGAGGAACCUCAGACUCCUAACAUAAAAAGAAAAGGAACCAAAUAGCAGCAAAAAAAAAAAAAAAACCCUCCCUAGCCAGAAAUGGUGGUGGUAUUCACCAGAAGUCUUAGCAUUUUGGAGAUGGAACCUGGAGGAUCAGGAGUUAAACGUCAUUCCUGGAUACAUGAGUUCCAGGAUAGCCUAGGCUACAUGAGAUUCUGUUUUGAAUAAUAAAUAAGUGUCCCCCUUACCUGUUCCCAGGACCAAUUCCUUGCCAAGCAUCAAAAGCAUGAUCAGACAAGGCCAGCGAGAUGGCUCAGUGGGUAAAGGUGCUAAGAUCCCUGGUACAUAUACAUAUGUGU